GUUGGGGUGGGCAGUCUGUUUGUUUUGUCUUUAUUUAGUAUGGUCAGGGCGUGAGUUGGGGUGGGCAGUCUGUUUGUUUUGUCUUUAUUUAGUAUGGUCAGGGCGUGAGUUGGGGUGGGCAGUCUGUUUGUUUUGUCUUUAUUUAGUAUGGUCAGGGCGUGAGUUGGGGUGGGCAGUCUGUUUGUUUUGUCUUUAUUUAGUAUGGUCAGGGCGUGAGUUGGGGUGGGCAGUCUGUUUGUUUUGUCUUUAUUUAGUAUGGUCAGGGCGUGAGUUGGGGUGGGCAGUCUGUUUGUUUUUCUAUGUUGCCUAGUAUGGUUCUCAAUCAGAGGCAGGUGUCGUUAGCUGUAGCCUGGGUUUCACUUUUGAGUGGUGGGUGUUUGUUUUCCGUGUCAGUGUUUGUCGCCACACGGUACUGUUUCGGUUUCGGUUCAUGUUCACGUUUAUUGUUUUGUAUUUUCAUAGUGUUCAGUUUAUAUCUUAUAAUAAACGUUAUGGACACCU